rnacentral:rRNA from 1 species
UACGUAGGGUCCGAGCGUUGUCCGGAGUUACUGGGCGUAAAGGGCGCGUAGGCGGCUUUAUAAGUCGGGGGUGAAAGCCUGUGGCUCAACCACAGAAUUGCCUUCGAUACUGUAGAGCUUGAGACCGGAAGAGGUAAGUGGAACUGCGAGUGUAGAGGUGAAAUUCGUAGAUAUCGAGAGGAACACCGGUGGCGAAGGCGGCGAUCUGGACGAUGACUGACGCUGAGACGCGAAAGCGUGGGGAGCAAACAGG